rnacentral:rRNA from 1 species
AGAGAGAGACAUGCGCGCAUAUCAAUAAGCGGAGGAAAAGAAACUAACAAGGAUUCCCUUAGUAACGGCGAGUGAAGCGGGAAGAGCUCAAAUUUGAAAUCUUCAAGGUUCUACCUUGACGAAUUGUAGUUUAUAGAAGUGUUUUCUGUUAGUGGAGUGGCAAAAGUUCUUUGGAAUAGGACAUCAUAGAGGGUGAGAAUCCCGUAUUUGGUCAUUCCUCCUAGCGUUGUGAUACACUUUCAACGAGUCGGAUUGUUUGGGAAUGCAGUCCAAAAUGGGUGGUAAAUUUCAUCUAAAGCUAAAUACUGGCGAGAGACCGAUAGCGAACAAGUACCGUGAGGGAAAGAUGAAAAGAACUUUGAAAAGAGAGUUAAACAGUACGUGAAAUUGUCAAAAGGGAAGCGUUUGACACCAGUGUUGUUUUCUCGAAAAUCAAUUAAAAAUGGUGGGAUUUUGUGUUGUAUUGACUUUAUCAGCUUUCUGCACUUUUUUCCUAUCUUUUUUAAUGCACUUUUCGUUUAACAAAUCAACAUCAAUUUCUUUUGUUGUAAAAGGGUCAUUGGAAGGUGGCUUUCACUUCGGUGAAAGUGUUUAUAGCCUUUGACUUCUGCAAUCGGAGAGAUUGAGGUCUGCAGCGUAGAUCCUUCGGGGUUAGAUACAUUUGUGCUAAGUUAUAGUUUUUCAUAGACAACAUGUUGACUAUGUUUAGUCUUGUAGCUUACUCGCUGACGCUAUUUUACCUACGCUUAGGAUGUUGAUAGUCACAGCGUGUAC